rnacentral:rRNA from 1 species
GAUGAACGCUGGCGGCGUGCCUAAUACACGCAAGUCGAGCGAACGGACGAGAAGCUUGCUUCUCUGAUGUUAGCGGCGGACGGGUGAGUAACACGUGGAUAACCUACCUAUAAGACUGGGAUAACUUCGGGAAACCGGAGCUAAUACCGGAUAAUAUUUUGAACCGCAUGGUUCAAAAGUAAAAGACGGUCUUGCUGUCACUUAUAGAUGGAUCCGCGCUGCAUUAGCUAGUUGGUAAGGUAACGGCUUACCAAGGCAACGAUGCAUAGCCGACCUGAGAGGGUGAUCGGCCACACUGGAACUGAGACACGGUCCAGACUCCUACGGGAGGCAGCAGUAGGGAAUCUUCCGCAAUGGGCGAAAGCCUGACGGAGCAACGCCGCGUGAGUGAUGAAGGUCUUCGGAUCGUAAAACUCUGUUAUUAGGGAAGAAUAUAUGUGUAAGUAACUGUGCACAUCUUGACGGUACCUAAUCAGAAAGCCACGGCUAACUACGUGCCAGCAGCCGCGGUAAUACGUAGGUGGCAAGCGUUAUCCGGAAUUAUUGGGCGUAAAGCGCGCGUAGGCGGUUUUUUAAGUCUGAUGUGAAAGCCCACGGCUCAACCGUGGAGGGUCAUUGGAAACUGGAAAACUUGAGUGCAGAAGAGGAAAGUGGAAUUCCAUGUGUAGCGGUGAAAUGCGCAGAGAUAUGGAGGAACACCAGUGGCGAAGGCGACUUUCUGGUCUGUAACUGACGCUGAUGUGCGAAAGCGUGGGGAUCAAACAGGAUUAGAUACCCUGGUAGUCCACGCCGUAAACGAUGAGUGCUAAGUGUUAGGGGGUUUCCGCCCCUUAGUGCUGCAGCUAACGCAUUAAGCACUCCGCCUGGGGAGUACGACCGCAAGGUUGAAACUCAAAGGAAUUGACGGGGACCCGCACAAGCGGUGGAGCAUGUGGUUUAAUUCGAAGCAACGCGAAGAACCUUACCAAAUCUUGACAUCCUUUGACAACUCUAGAGAUAGAGCCUUCCCCUUCGGGGGACAAAGUGACAGGUGGUGCAUGGUUGUCGUCAGCUCGUGUCGUGAGAUGUUGGGUUAAGUCCCGCAACGAGCGCAACCCUUAAGCUUAGUUGCCAUCAUUAAGUUGGGCACUCUAAGUUGACUGCCGGUGACAAACCGGAGGAAGGUGGGGAUGACGUCAAAUCAUCAUGCCCCUUAUGAUUUGGGCUACACACGUGCUACAAUGGACAAUACAAAGGGCAGCGAAACCGCGAGGUCAAGCAAAUCCCAUAAAGUUGUUCUCAGUUCGGAUUGUAGUCUGCAACUCGACUACAUGAAGCUGGAAUCGCUAGUAAUCGUAGAUCAGCAUGCUACGGUGAAUACGUUCCCGGGUCU